CCCUUAGAUGUUCUGGGCCGCACGCGCGCUACACUGACGAAUGCAACGAGCUUAUAACCUUGGCCGAAAGGUCUGGGUAAUCUCCAAAUUUCGUCGUGAUGGGGAUAGAUUAUUGCAAUUAUUAAUCUUCAACGAGGAAUGCCUAGUAAGCGCAGGUCAUCAGCUUGCGUUGAUUACGUCCCUGCCCUUUGUACACACCGCCCGUCGCUCCUACCGAUUGAAUGGUCCGGUGAAUAAUUCGGACUGCAGCAGUGUUCAGUUCCUGAACGUUGCAGCGGAAAGUUUAGUGAACCUUAUCACUUAGAGGAAGGAGAAGUCGUAACA
rnacentral:rRNA from 1 species